CGGAGCCCAACUCAGGGCUUGAUCUCACGACCCCGAGAUCAUGACCUGAGCUGAAAUCAAGAGCCGGACACUUAACCGACAGAGUCACCACACAGGCACCCCAAGAGUCUGUGAGUUUUCAACAAGAGGGAAAUGAAACAUGACUCAAAAAUAUCUUGGAGUGCCAUGAGAGCUGAAGGACAAAGCUAAACUCCAUCUACAAGCACACCAAACAGGAACAACAAGAAUUGAAGAUUCCUGUCCUGAUUCCAAAAGCGAGGGGAGGAGAUUUUCUUUAUUUGAGACAGAGAGAAUGAGAGACAGAGCAUGAGAGGGAGGAGGGUCAGAGGGAGAACCAGACUCCCCGCUGAGCAGGGAGCCCGAUGCGGGACUCGAUCCCAGGACUCCAGGAUCAUGACCUGAGCUGAAGGCAGUCGCUUAACCAACUGAGCCACCCAGGCGCCCUAUAGACCCAUCUUUCUAACAAUAAAUAUUUCCAUCUGGAUAUAUCACCAUGUCUCAAGUUCAAGCUCUCUAUCCUGAACCCAUCAUCUUCACCUCAAAC